ensembl:lincRNA
AUUUCUCCACCCAGUAGAAGCUUCUGGGCUUGGCCGGCGGACGUGCAGUUGGAAAGCUUUGGCUGGAGGUCCCGUAGGGGAAAAUCAGUACAGGUUUGCUUGUGUUCCUCUGUGCUCCUUGUCAGUGGCAAGUUUGGAUCCCUUUUGCACACCUGGUGCUGAUGGCAAUGGAAGAGGAAAGGUAGGCAAUGGUGCCUCAUAGUGAGAAAGGGUGGAGGUGGGGGAAAUGCCCGAUGAUGGAUGCCCUGGGAUCCAUCACGUUGCUUCUUACACUCAUUUGCUGUUUAUGAUUCUGAGCAGGGAAACCAAGCCUGACACAGACGCCGAAGAUUAAAACGGAAUCACUAUUUUUUAAUAUGGAAGCAAGACUCAGGGGGUUUCGAUGGGAAAUUGCAGGGCGCAGAAGUUGGGGUGGGAGGGACCGGGUCACAGCCCCUGCCAGGCACCUGCCCCUCCCAUCCUGUCACACUCAUUUGUCUCUGUCUCCUCCAGCAGGAAUUGAUUUGCUGAUGUGCAGCCUCAAAGUUGGAGCAGAUUUCAGGUAGGACUUGUGCCAUGCAUGGCAGAGCACAUGACAGGCGACUUGAGAAGUCAAAGCUGCCCUGAAGUCACCACGGCAGCAGCAUCUUCUCUUCCCUCAGUCUGUGGCCUCUGAUCCUAGGAUGCCACCAUGGUGACACCAGUGGGCACACAAAUCUCUUCCUGGCUGGGAGCAGCUGUUGAGGGUGCGUUGGUUUUACCUGCGGCCCUCUGCUCACUUGGUCACUCCCUUUGGGGUACAGCAGGGCCAGUGGAGCUCUACUUCCUGGGUGACAUGGCUGCUUGACCGUUCUGCCCCCGAGUGUCUCGGCAACAUAUUCCCUGUUCCUAGGAUGUCACUUUCUCAAGCGUCACCUCUGUGUCAUUUUCUACAUGUGCUGACAUUGCCCGAGAGUACCUGAGGUUAUGCGGUCCCACAGCCCUGGCACUGAACAGAACCAGCAGGGAAAGCAGGGAUGGACUGGGAAGUGACCUGUGAGCCUCUCUUCCUGCUGGGACUGAGCUAUCAUUUCAGCCAUCAUGGCCUUGCUUCUGCCCCUGACCCACACUGCCGGCAAAUUGUCACCUUGUCAGUGGGCGAAUCCAUCAUGGUCCAGUUCCUCCCCAAAACCUGUCAGCUGCCAUCUGGGGCUUCUGCACAGGCAUCCUGGGGAACGUGGGAAAUACAGCCAUCAGGAGGACACCUUCACGGGCUCUGGGAUGGGGACCUGGACAUUGCUCACUGACCCUGAAGAUCAAGGAUGGUGACCAGAUAAACUCAGGAAAGACUGUCAUGGUUGUGAACUGUGGUGGGCCAAGGAGAGGGCAGGGAUUUGGGUGUGAGUGGGCACAGGGGCCAUAGAUGCUGGCCACUGAGUGGACAUGGAGAGAAACGGAGGAGGAAGAGGAAGCUGGGAAUCCCAGGGUAUUUGCUGGGAUGUCAUGGAUGAUGCUGACCCAGUUAUUCCAAGGGUCUAUUCAGUCACUAAGGAUGAAUAAAGAUUCCAAAACUGAUUUAUAAGGUCUGUGACAGGGAAGGCACUCAUAAUUAUAAACUGGUUAGCACCGGAUAUUAUGCACUGAUUUUUGCCUGAAUCAUUAAUUAGCACGUGAAUCAACAGCAGCUGCUACCUCAUAAAUGAGCUAUUCUGAAUUUUUAAAAAAAAACUAAAUGUAAUAAAAAGGGAAGACCCAUAAAGGUGAAGAUCAAGAAGCAUUCCUUAGAAUUUAUUUUCAUGUUGCAGGCCAUAUAUGAGAACCUAUUUGAGAACUAUGGACUGUGUUGUAGUUAGGGGUUGUACACAGAGAACAAUUAGAAUCAGGACAUGGAGUUCAUAAUAUUGUUUUAUGAUGCUCAUCGGCAGUUAACACAAGAAAGUGCACCAAAGACGUAGAAUAUUUAGUCAAGGACCUAAAUCCCACAGCAAUGUCCCACAUGAGCCCAGAUGAAAAUUCAGAGCUCAUGACAGUGCCUCCCACGAGUCCACCUGGAGGUCCAGAGCCCACAGGAAGGACUCACACCAGUCUCUUUUAGGGAUCGGUGACGGGACGGUGCAAAGGUCAGCGGUGGAAGCCAGAAAGUCCAUGUUGCGGGGUGAAGGAGCUGUGCUGGUGGGAUGAGGGUUCUAUGCUGGAGCCACGAAGCCACACUCACAACAAAGACCAGGGCUGUCCUGAAAAGCACCACAGCCAUCCUUAGCAACACAGAAGCCCUGAGCUUCUCUGACGACAAGCACAGUCGAGUACAUGCCAGGAAGCCAGCGUGACGAGUUCAUCCUGGAGACCAAGCUGCACACGUCUUCCCCUCUGGAGCCAGGAAACAGUGCUCGAUAUGAGGAACAGAGCUUCUCCAGGAGAACCAACAGUGCCUCAAUACCUCAAUGCAAUAAUGCAUUAACACCUUCCUUCUCCUUCUCCACCUCUCUAUUUAUGCUGGCAACUUUCCUCAGGUGGAGCAUCUAUGCUCAGUGUAAUGCUGGUGUAAUCCAGCUGGGGUUAAGUUGACCACCAGUUCUUAAUCCAUAACAGACUGUCACUCAGAAAGCUAAACUGAAGGCUCUGGUACACAACAAAUCGAACACUUCAGUGCAGAAAUCAGUGAGAAGGAAACAGCUUCGUAUUUUCUGACGUCUAAGGACAGCAAGGCUGCUGCUGCUUCAAUUUGAGACUUCCCCCAUAGCAGCUUGAGGAUCUGGGCACCAAGGCAGAGGCACCCAGUUCUCCUGACCUCUCUCUCUGGCCAUGGCCAGUGGCCCAGAGGACCCCCUGUUCACAGUGAAUUUCAGAUGGGCCCGGCAAGGCUCUGCCCUUCUCAAGGCAGGGUGACUCGGUGCCACCAUUCGCCUUAAGUCACCGUGAUCUCAACCCAGCAGGCAGCUCGGUGCCUGGCGGGAAGACCCAGAGAAAUCCAAGUGCGAGAAACCCCUCUGUGAGUCUCAGGUUCCCUGCUUGCUCUGUGCUCAUCACCAGUGCUGCCCGGUGCAUCCAUCUGGGGGCCAGGAUGAAGGAGGUGACACCUGGUAUGAAUCAUGGCUGUCCUGUCCCCCUACACAGUGGCUUCUACUCCUGCCAAGCUUUUAGCAAACCUGAGAGACAGAAAUCGAGGAAGACAUUGGUGCUGGUAAAGCCUGCAAACUGAACAAACCUCUGGGGCUCUCCGGGGGCUGGGUCCUGGUAGUUUUGGGGGUGCCUUGUUUAAUUGAAUGCAGAAGAGCAUGCAUUGCUUAGAACCUUUCUGAAAGCCCAGAGCAUGGGGCAAUGUUUGAAACAUUCAUCAUUUUUGUAGGAGUGUUCGUGGAGGUGAAGGGAAGGAUUGCAGGGGCCUGCCCUUUUCAGAGGGCACUGAGUUUUUUUUUUUUUUUUUGGUCUUUUUCUUUUUUAUCGGUACUGGGGAUCGAACUCACGACUGCCUGCUUGCAAGGCAGGUGCUUAUGCCGCUGAGCUAAAUCCCCAGCCCCAGGGCACUGAAUUUCUUUACUCCCAACCUAAUCCUCUUCACAGACUGCAGCUGCCACAAAGGAUGGCAUUUCUCUCCUUUCACCAUUUCAGCUGCCUGGUGCACUGCUGAUGCCCACAUGUUGUGAAUGCAAACCUUCCCAGGAAAAGCCAUCUCUGGGGUGUUACCCCGGAGGUUGCCUUCACUACCAGUGACAAAGUUUCGGGGCUCGUCCAGGUCCCCCAGACCUGAUACUUGCUUUUCCCCAUCCUUCUGCCCUCAAGCUGCCCCUAGUUUGCAUUCUCAGACUGUUGUAAAGAGACCAGGGAAAGGGAAACCAGGUUUAUUUGGAUUGUAAACACGGAUCGGAUUAGCAGUAAGCAAAAAUAUUUCAAAAUGCAUUUUGAAAAAUAAGAAUGCAUUUCAAAGCCUGUCACAGCCCAUAAAUUCACUUAGAUGAAAGACCUGACAUGCAAUAAAAAUGUCUCAUUUAAGAAGUGAAAUGAUCCUGUCAUUUGUAGCAGGGAUUAAUAGAAUUUUAAAAAGCAGUGAGCUCAGAUGUGGCUGGGUGAGUCACAGUGGCCUU